GUCAAGUCAUCAUGGUCCUUACGUCCAGGGCUACACACGUGCUACAAUGGCCGGGACAAACCGAAGCGAUGCCGCGAGGUGGAGCGAAUCGGAAAAACCCGGUCUAAGUUCGGAUUGCAGUCUGUAACUCGACUGCGUGAAGUCGGAAUCGCUAGUAAUCGCGAAUCAGCAAUGUCGCGGUGAAUACGUUCCCGGGUCUU
rnacentral:rRNA from 1 species